rnacentral:rRNA from 1 species
UCCACUUGUCUUUUAAAUGAGGACCCGUAUGAAUGGCAAAACGAGGGCUUAACUGUCUCCCCCUUUUAAUCAGUGAAAUUGAUCUCCCCGUGCAGAAGCGGGGAUAACCACAUAAGACGAGAAGACCCUGUGGAGCUUUAAACACGAGGAAGGAACAUUACAAACUCUCCCCCCUCUCCGGGGCAAAAUUAUUUGUUACCCUCACCUCUGUUUUUGGUUGGGGCGACCGCGGAGAAAUAACUACCCCCCGCGAGGACAAGAAGUACUAACUUCAUACAGACUAGAGCUGCCGCCUAGCACCCAGGAAAUUCUGACCAUUAGAUCCGGCAUAGCCGAUAACGGACCGAGUUACCCCAGGGAUAACAGCGCAAUCCCCUUCCAGACCCCA